AGCUCCCCCUAGCUGCUACUUCUUAUUUCCUUGUUAAUGCUAAGAAUGAGCUCCUCUUUCAAACUUUAACAAACAGUACAUAAAGAUCUACCCAUUGGCAUUUAACUGAUCUUGUUGCCUGUAAGGAAUAUUUCUACUCUUACCUCUUCAGUUUGCUAUCUCCCUCAGCUGCGUGUCUUCCCAGAAGUCAAUGCAGGAUGGGCAGUUUCAUCUGAGAUCAUUGUGGAGGGGUGGACAGAUGGACUAUACCAUUAUCUUACAGGGUCCUGGUACAUGAAAAAGAUUAGCUCUUUCAUUGACCUUGAAAUAUUCCUAAUGCAAACCAUUUGUUUACUCUCUCAAUUAUGAAUAUUAAUAUACUGGCCAGAAAAUGGUCAGUAUUUAAUUGCUAUCUAUCUAUCCAUCCAUCCAUCCAUCCAUCUUUUAAUCUAUAGAAAGUGUAGGUACUGUCUGUGGUGCUGCAGGACUCCAGAUGUCAUGUGAUCAUUCACACUGUGAAACGAUGUAGACCUGCUUUAGGCCUUACUGUGGCAUCAAUGGUAAUGUAUGUUCCUCUUAAGGUGGAAUGAUUCAAAAUGUGUGUAGUCAGUUCCUAAAACGUAUAGUUCCUGUUUUCCUACUUGUGCACUAAGACACAGACACGAUGAGGAAGUGGUUGACAGCACUAUGACACAGACUGCAUAGACAAAAAAAUUAUUCUCUCCACAUUUAAUAAGAUUACUCUUAAAAUUGAUGACAUUGUAAAUGGCCAUUCCAAAGUGGAGACCCUGCAGUUGGAUGACAGCAAGGACACAGACACAGAUGGAAAAAUAGUGACAUUCCUCAGGAAAACUCGACAGAGUAAAGCUGUCCUUGUGUCUACUGAUGGCAUGAACCAGAAACCCAGCUAACUGCUUCUCCAGAAGCUCCACAGCAGCUUUGGCGUCUCUCUUCCUCGCAGGACCUUCUAUCGUCUGUUUUACGCUCUCGUUGGGCACAGGCUGAGGGUUGCUGCUGAACGAGAUCACCAGAAUCGUAUCCAUAUGAUUGCCUCUCAGACUUGACAGAAGAGUCUUUGCAAGCGUUUCUGGCUGAUGACGUGAAAUGACGCAGAACAAGACUAAAGAUCUGUCUUCUGUGAUGUCACAAAGGUGAUAACCAACACAGAGUGUCGAGUGAAUCAGGAAGUGACCCGUCCCAACAGCAUUCUCUACUCUGAGGAGCGGCCAUCUUUAAAGCUCUCCAACAGUUCACUCAGAGAAGCUAAUUUAUCAAAAUAAUCGUGCAAAAUCACAUAAAUACACAACAAUAUAUAUGAUUUACAUGCUUAUAGCACAUUUAAGUGUGUUUUAUUUAUCAGGGACCAUCAUUAACAUGCUUCCUCUCUUUCUUUUAUGCAGCAUUGCCUGCAUGUAAAAUUGGCCACUUCCCUUGAACAGGAAGCCAAGGGAUUCAGACCCAAUAACUGCAGACCAUCUUUAUCUAACCAAAGCACAACAAUACGACAUCUUCCUCUGUUCUUCCAACCAAUACACCAUUCCAAGACCUGUAAAAAAUCCAUAUACUGGCAUGCAUUAGGACCAAUGUACAUCCCAAUGAGCCCAUCCAUCCAUUAGUGGCCUGGCCAUUGGAGAACACAGCUCCUCUUACCUCUUCAGAUUGCUACCUCGUCUCCAAAGUCCCAACACCGACUGUACUUCUUCUUCCCAGCAAACACUGCAAAAGAGGCUCUUCCAUUUUAGCUCAAUAUGGAGGGGUGUUCAAACUGGACUAUACCAUUUAAACUGGUGUACAGAUGGCCCUGGAGCCUCAAAAAUGGCCCUUUGGCCACCAUAUAAUGCAAGUCUCCACUUGCUCCAUUGCAGAGGCAUAUAUGAACCCCUAUUGACCAGCCCCCUCCUCAAGCCACAGAUGACCUCCCCCAAUGACAUUCAAAUAUUUCAGGCUUCCAACAGUCAGAUAGUCUAUACAGAGAGCUGACUGUCACGUCUGGAGGCAGCUGUGGGCGCAGACAGGCUCUAAACAGGCCAGCUGCCAAGCUCUGCCAUUGGGUACAAUUGGUGCAGGCUAUUCAUAGGGGACAUUUUAUUAAAAUAAAGCUUUAAAUAAUUAAUUAAAGGUUAGAAUGAACCAAAUGUAUUAAAAUGGGGGACUGAAAUAUGAGACAUCUAUUUCAUAUGCUGGCACAGAGUUAAAAAGGACACCUUUCCAAUGGUGUCAGUGUGUUUCCAAAUAGGACACCUGUUUCUAGCAUUAAAAAAAGCUGUAAUGAGCCCUUAAAAAUAAAUUAUUAAGGUUAAUUUAUCAACAGGUAUAUACGUAUGGAUUUUAGUCCAACUAGUGUUGAUUCAUUGCUUAAUAACCAUAUGAAAUGCCUCUUUAUCAUAAUUUCUGAUGGCAGACAUUUCCAAACCACCUUUCCUUUAAAGUCAACAAAUAUGCUCUAAAAUGAGCUGUUUAAUUAUCUCUUUAAUGUAUGAAUCAGCAUACAAUAACAAUAAUAAUCCAAUGAAAUGAGAAAUUAUAAACAACCAGUUGAAUUUCUGGGGAUCAUGCUUCUUAUAAUGCUGUAACUUGCAAGUCAUUUACAUUUGUUCUAUACAUACAAAAAGCAGGCAAUUUUGUCUGCAAAAUGGUGCAAACACUGGAUAUGUGUUUGAACUGUGAUGGCUAGAAUAUUGUAACAUCUCAAAAUAUAACUAAAACUAAAAAUAACUCCCGCACAAGGCAACAUCUGAGUGUACAAAGGUGUGAACAGGAUAAGGAUAACAUUUAAAGUCACAGCUGUUAGAAAGAAGUCAUCAUAUUUUUAGGCCUAUGAAAAGGUUUUUUUUAAUGUUUUGUCUGUAAUUUAAUUUUUGCUCUUUCUGGCUCACAUUUCUUAUGUUUGCAUAUAUAUCUGAUAAUUAAUGUAGCUAUAGCUUUCAAUAGAAAUUGACAGUUUGAAUCUGUC